AGAGUUUGAUCAUGGCUCAGAGUGAACGCUGGCGGUAGGCCUAACACAUGCAAGUCGAACGGCAGCACAGUAAGAGCUUGCUCUUACGGGUGGCGAGUGGCGGACGGGUGAGGAAUGCAUCGGAAUCUACUCUGUCGUGGGGGAUAACGUAGGGAAACUUACGCUAAUACCGCAUACGACCUACGGGUGAAAGCAGGGGAUCUUCGGACCUUGCGCGAUUGAAUGAGCCGAUGCCCGAUUAGCUAGUUGGCGGGGCAAGAGCCCACCAAGGCGACGAUCGGUAGCUGGUCUGAGAGGAUGAUCAGCCACACUGGAACUGAGACACGGUCCAGACUCCUACGGGAGGCAGCAGUGGGGAAUAUUGGACAAUGGGCGCAAGCCUGAUCCAGCCAUACCGCGUGGGUGAAGAAGGCCUUCGGGUCGUAAAGCCCUUUUGUUGGGAAAGAAAAGCAGUCGGUUAAUACCCGAUUGUUCUGACGGUACCCAAAGAAUAAGCACCGGCUAACUUCGUGCCAGCAGCCGCGGUAAUACGAAGGGUGCAAGCGUUACUCGGAAUUACUGGGCGUAAAGCGUGCGUAGGUGGUUGUUUAAGUCUGUCGUGAAAGCCCUGGGCUCAACCUGGGAAUUGCGAUGGAAACUGGGCGACUAGAGUGUGGCAGAGGGUAGUGGAAUUCCUGGUGUAGCAGUGAAAUGCGUAGAGAUCAGGAGGAACAUCCGUGGCGAAGGCGACUGCCUGGGCCAACACUGACACUGAGGCACGAAAGCGUGGGGAGCAAACAGGAUUAGAUACCCCGGUAGUCC
rnacentral:rRNA from 1 species